rnacentral:rRNA from 1 species
UACAGAGGGGGCAAGCGUUAUUCGGAAUUAUUGGGCGUAAAGAGCUCGUAGGCGGUUCGGCAAGUCACGUGUGAAAUCUCCACGCUCAACGUGGAGUCGCCACGUGAGACUGCCGUGACUCGAGUCCGGUAGGGGAGCGUGGAAUUCCCGGUGUAGCGGUGAAAUGCGCAGAUAUCGGGAAGAACACCCGUGGCGAAGGCGGCUCUCUGGGACGGUACUGACGCUGAGACGCGAAAGCGUGGGGAGCGAACAGG